ACCGGUUGUUGACUCGCGCUUGUUUACGCGCCGUUUGCGCCAGCGUCGGUCGUGGUUAAAACUUGUUUGCACGUGACUAGUGCGGAACCAACACGUGACGUCUAUGCAUCUCAUUUGCUUGUUAUUGCCGCGUGUUUGUGUAAGCUGCGUGCUCCUUUAGCUCACUGUCCUUUGGUGCGUAGGGUGCAGCAGUAGUGUCUGUGGUGGUGUGUUACGUGUGGUCCGCCAGUCACAUUUCGCCGUUAUUAAACGCUGGAGCAAACCAAAGGCCGGCCUGAAGCAGCUUUUGUCACUUUCAACCCAGCAUGGAUCCUUUCAUCAAGUUUUUCGUGGAAUGUGUCUGCUUCAGUUUUCUCCUCAAUCUGGCCUACACUUUUGAUGAUGAAUUUGAUGCUAAAAAAUUUCAUGAGAUGCACCGGAUACAUACCCCGCCCCUGGAACACACCCCACUAAGCGUGCCUAUUGAAGUGAUCAUUGGUUUCUCCAUCAUGGCGAUGAUUAUACUGGCCUGUUUCAUCACAUCCUGCAUCUGCCAUCGACGACACCCCGAGUGGUUUCCACAAAGACCUCGCACUCUAUCACCACUGCUACCGGCUGGACCUCCAGUGACAUCGGGGGCAACUACUCAGGGAGUAUAUGCUCCAUUACCAGGGGCAACUCCAGCUCUGGUCACUUCACCACAAGUAUAUACUGUGGUCCCAGGAGCAGCUCCAACUCCAGUCAUUGUCUAUCCACAACAGACUUACUACCUGCAAACAAAUGCGCCACACCCUGUGGGUGUGGACGAGUAAUACCAUGGCACCUCCGGCACAGCUGUCUGCUGCACCACUGCCAUCGCAGCCUGUACCACGCUCUCGUUACGGACAUGCAAAUUCCAAGGAUAUCUCCAAGGUGCCGUUGUGCCGUGACUGGUGAAGCUGCCAAGCAGUGCCUGGGUUGAAACCAGGCUCUUUGGUGGCUUUGCUCUUUUGCCUUCCAUUACCUUUGCACAGAAGUGUGUGGUAUUGUUAUUAUCACAUGCCGGACCUACCGCAGUAACCCAGUGGCCAUGGAAUUGUGCUGCUGAGCUCGAGAUCGUCGCUUUGAUACAAGCCAUGGCAGCCGCAUUUCAAUUGGGGCUAAAUGCGAAAACAUUUGAGCAUAUGGAUUUCCGUGCACGUUAAAGAACCCCAGGUUGUCAAAAAUCCAUCUGGAGUGCCCCAGUAGAGCGUGCUUUUUAAUAAUAUUGUGCUUUUUGCUUCGUAAUACUCCAGAAUUUAAUUUUAUAUACAUCUCAAGCAAAAGCUUGCUUCGUGCGAUGUGAACAUUGCAAAGUUGAAUUUGCCGGCAAAGUGCAAGACGAUGCCGGGGCUGUUAUAACAUCAUGACUGCUCAAGGUAGCCAGCCGGUCUGACAACUGGCCAACCUCCCAGUCUUUCCAUCUAUUCCUCCUUGUGACUUGCACAUACUGGCAGGAAUUGUAGCAACCUUGUAGUAAAGUUGGAGGAGGCCAAAUGUUUUUACAGUUGGUCCUCGAUAUAACGAGCAUGGAUAUAACAAAGUAAAUUUGAAAUGUUUCUCACCAAUACCAAUGUGUAAUGAAUAUAUGCUAAUAGUGGAUAUUGGAUAUAAUGAACGUGUUUAUCUUCAUGUCAGUCGGUGACAUUGUAAUGACGCUCGUCUAUAUUUCUCAGUAGAUCAACUGCUCCAUGCUAUUGUUGCUUUUAUCACAGAAUGGAAUCUUUUUUCAGCAUGGCCAGACCAGUAUACAUUUCACUGGCCAAGUUUACGAGCUUGUCGCCAUGUGUCGUCAAGCUUC